rnacentral:rRNA from 1 species
UACGACUACAUAUCAGGCAUAUCAAUAAGCGGAGGAAAAGCCGCACGGAAAAGCGGAAAUGAUAAGGAUUGUGAUGCAGAUGAUGGCAGAAGUCACCAUAUCCGGCAGCGGUGGACGCGCUGACAACGGCAAUGCGCUGUGUCAGCCGCGGAAGGGGAAGGCUCUGGUUGUCAUGCAGGAUGCCGUCCUCGUCGAGCCGUCUCAGGAUUUCCCUUCGCUGCUGCGCCAGGCUUCCCAGGGUGUAGGAAGCGUCAAUGUCCGUGAUGUUGAGGGAAUAGCCGUAGGCCUCGUGGAAGGUGAGCUGCACCUGGAGCAACACUCGCAGCCCGGCCCGCAGUUCCUGUUCGCUCUCCUGCAUGAAGCGCAGACGCAGGAUGUUAUACUGCCGCGCCCCAGCAAUGGACUCGCGCCCGUGCCAGCACGUUGCGCCCAUCAUCGUCCUUUUCUAUGAUUUCGCCAUAGAAAUGGCCGUUGCCAGCCUGCCGUGCCUCGCUCAGUUCGCCCACAACCCACAACGUGUCGGGGAAGGUCUGUUCCACGGCAUCGCGCACCAGGGCAUUGAGUUGGUAAAGGGAAAGGGGUUGCAUAAACAGAUAAAAAAAAGUGAAACUGCAGACAAGGCCAAUGCUCACGCACAAACACAAGACUGCAGUUUCGAAUGUUUAACUAAAAUACUAUUACAUGAAAAAUAGUUUUCUUCUACAAAAAUUAUCCGAGGAAGCUGAGCAGGAUACCUGCAGCCACCGCAGAACCAAUCACGCCGGCCACAUUGGGACCCAUGGCGUGCAUAAGCAGGAAGUUGCGGGGAUCGGCCUUCUGACCCUCUACCUGGCUUACGCGAGCGGCCAUAGGCACGGCGCUCACACCGGCAGAACCAAUCAGCGGAUUGAUCUUCUCCUUCAGGAACAGGUUCAUGAACUUGGCCAGCAGCACACCACCGGCAGAACCUACGCCAAAGGCUACGAUACCUACGCUUAGGAUGUUGAUCUCUCACAGUCGAGC